CGAAUCAAUGGAGUAUCAUUUGGCGUUUAUAGAUGCCCAUUAGACAGCCAUACGAUAUUUGACUUGAUAAGAAUGUUUGAGCCACUCUUUACGGUUCAUUCUUUGGGGAUGUCUUCACAUGACCGCUUAGUUCACCCUUCAUGGAUCUUCAAGCCCCUUUUUAGGGUUUCAAAUCACCUAUUACAAGAGACCAAUAUUGAGUUUGGAAUCUUGAAUAGACUACUGGUGAUAAGCUGAGCUGGAGGAAGGUGAGGAUGAUGUCAAGUCAUCAUGCCUCUUACAUCUUGGACAACACAUGUGCCAUAAUGAUCGAGAUAAAGGGUUAAUGACCUUGCGAGGGCAUGCUAACCUCAAAAACUCAACCUCGGUUUAGAUUGUAAGCUACAACUCACUUACAUGAAGUUGGAAUCACUGGAAUCGCUAGUAAUUGUCGAUCAAUUAUAUGUUGGCGAAUCCAUUCUCG
rnacentral:ncRNA from 1 species